UCCACUUCAUUUUUGAAGCGGAU
rnacentral:snRNA from 1 species